AGCUUAAUGUGGAUAGUAUCUGAAGGAAGGCCAUUCAUGUGAUAGAGCUUAGUAACUUCAUGACUGAGCAUGGUACCAACAGUACGAUUUACGUUCACAAUUGGCAUUUCAAUAUAUACCGGAAGAUUAUCUUUCAGAGCAGGUUUAGAUAAAGCAAUCAGUUUUUGGUCUAAAGCCAGCUCGAGGCCAUGGUCUUGUUUCUGGACACAAAAUUGAGCAGCUUCAGGGCGAAUAUCACGACCAGGUCGCAAAAGCAAAGAGAGAUCAAUAUUCUCUAAUUUUUCAUUGUUCUUCACAACUUCUGGGUCUAUUUCCAACAAGUCAGAACGACCAAUCAUUUCAUUGAUUGUUCGGAAACCCAAUUGAGCCAUGAUCCCACGCAGCUGUUCGGCCAGCAGAAAGAAAAAGUUUAUAACAUACUCGGGCUUUCCUGCAAAUUUGGCACGGAGCAGAGGGUCUUGAGUAGCAAUGCCAACCGGGCAAGUAUUCUUGUGGCACUUCCUCAUCAUAAUGCAUCCUAGUGUUAUAAGUGGAGCAGUACUGAAGCCAAAUUCUUCAGCACCAAGCAUAGCAGCAAUUGCAACAUCUCUUCCUGUUUUUAGUUGGCCAUCAGUCUGAAGGACAGUACGACCGCGGAGAUCAUUGGCUACAAGAGUUUGGUGUGUCUCGGCUAAACCGAGUUCCCAUGGAAGCCCCGCA
rnacentral:misc_RNA from 1 species